rnacentral:misc_RNA from 1 species
AAUUUUGUAUGAAAGUUCUAUAUUUUUGAAGUAAGAGACUUGAAAUUUAAAAUGUAUGCUCUAUAGAUGAUGAGAAGGUGUCCAAAUAAUGUAUUUUUAGAAAUCAACUCCCUUUUGGGGUUAAAAUGGGGGAUGGUAGGUUUACUCACUCAUCACGAAAUCUCCGAAUCUAUAACACCUACAAACUUGAAACUUGGCAGAUAGGCACUUUAUAGGGCGAAGACAUUCGCUAAGAACAGGUUUUACAAAACUGGACCCCUAAGGGGGUAAAACG